GGCUCUGUAGUGUAGAGGUUAUCACUCAAGAUUCUGAUGUUGCUCGGUUUCGAACCAAGCAUGCAGCAAAUUCUUGGAACCCAGGUUCGAGUCCUGGCAGGGCCU
rnacentral:tRNA from 1 species